CCCGUGCUGAGCCCGCACACGCCCGUGCUGUACCCAGAUUUGCUCAGACUGCCCGUGACGGGCGAGAAAUCUUUUUGUCUGGGGAGCGCCCUCAGGCGGCGGACUUCGGCACCUCAGCAGUGUGCGGCUCGCCGUUGACACUGCACUGCAAGGACGUCACUCUCCUCAGUUGUCUUCACCUUGCUCUUGCACAUCCGAACACCGCUCCGCACACCGUGCAGCAUCGCGUACUGGCGCGAACUUCUCUGUGGUUUCCUGUGCGUCAGGCUCAUGAACUUCAUUUCUCCGACGGAUCCUUUUGCAGUGCAGUAUCAUGACUUGUUUUCUAUCCUCACGACGUUGGCUGUGACAUGGUGUGCUCUUGGCGCUGCUGCUGAAUCCUUGCGUGCAGUAUCAUGACUUCUUUCCUCAUCACGAUGUUGGCUGUGACAUGGUGUGCUCGUGGCGCAGCUGCCGAAACACUGCGUAAAUGGAAUUAUCCCGGCGGGUGCCUGGCGCGCGGUGGCGGCGUCGAAGGGGGCUGAGGGGGCCCAA